rnacentral:rRNA from 1 species
GACGAACGCUGGCGGCGUGCCUAAUACAUGCAAGUUGAGCGCUGAAGGUUGGUACUUGUACCGACUGGAUGAGCAGCGAACGGGUGAGUAACGCGUGGGUAAUCUGCCUUUGAGCGGGGGACAACAUUUGGAAACGAAUGCUAAUACCGCAUAAAAACUUUAAACACAAUUUUUAAGUUUGAAAGAUGCAAUUGCAUCACUCAAAGAUGAUCCCGCGUUGUAUUAGCUAGUUGGUGAGGUAAAGGCUCACCAAGGCGAUGAUACAUAGCCGACCUGAGAGGGUGAUCAGCCACAUUGGGACUGAGACACGGCCCAAACUCCUACGGGAGGCAGCAGUAGGGACUCUUCGGCAAUGGACGACAGUCUGACCGAGCACCGCCGCGUGAGUGCAGAAGGUUUUCGGAUCGUAAAACUCUGUUGGUAGAGAAGAACGUUGGUGAGAGUGGAAAGCUCAUCAAGUGACGGUACCUACCCAGAAAGGGACGGCUAACUACGUG